rnacentral:rRNA from 1 species
GACGAACGCUGGCGGCGUGCCUAAUACAUGCAAGUCGAACGAGAGCGACCGGUGCUUGCACUGGUCAAUCUAGUGGCGAACGGGUGAGUAACACGUGGGUAACCUGCCCAUCAGAGGGGGAUAACAUUCGGAAACGGAUGCUAAAACCGCAUAGGUUCUACAGUCGCAUGACUGAAGAAGGAAAAGAGGCUUCGGCUUCUGCUGAUGGAUGGACCCGCGGUGCAUUAGCUAGUUGGUGAGGUAACGGCUCACCAAGGCCGUGAUGCAUAGCCGACCUGAGAGGGUGAUCGGCCACAUUGGGACUGAGACACGGCCCAAACUCCUACGGGAGGCAGCAGUAGGGAAUCUUCCGCAAUGGACGCAAGUCUGACGGAGCAACGCCGCGUGAGUGAAGAAGGAUUUCGGUUCGUAAAACUCUGUUGUUAGAGAAGAACAGCGCAUAGAGUAACUGUUAUGCGUGUGACG